CAUCGAGAAGCAGAGGAAGCAGGAAAUGAACAUGCCACGCUGAAACACAAUACUGACACACGGUGGAGCACAGAUAAGGAAACACGGGUUAAUUUAAGUUGUAAGAGCCGCAGGGAUGGAGCAACUGCGAGCAACUUUGCAAACGUAUGUGAGACAAGGGACUUUGGAAGCAAACUCUGGCCAAUACCUCACGGCCCAAAUCACUGUCUCAAAAGGAAAAAAGAGGGUAGGAACCCUUCUAUGAGACUGGCCGAGCGUUCCAGCGUAAAGCCGGAUUGUUUCUAGAACCACCUCAGAGAGGCUCAUCCAUCUGGGGGUGUGCUCCAGGUGGCGCUCCCCCUGAGUCAUCCCUCUGCCAUGAGGGCCGUCCCGCCACGGCCACAGCCAGCACCAGACCCCUUGCAGAACGCGAAGGUUGGCAACAGCGAUGACUUUUCUGGACAAGUCGGUGUUCAUCUCCACCCCCCAGGGCCUUUCCCAAAUGUCCUUCCCCCCCCCCUUGUCCCUCAGCCCCACUGCGACUGCUCCCCGGGUGGGCUUCUCAACCCUGCUGUCCCCUGAAUGUCCCAAAGUCCAAAACCCACCAGGGGCUUCCAUCCGGGACUCUUCUACCGGGUAGGCCAGUCCUGUGACAUCCUUCCUACUUUGGUUCUGGCAGGAGUAAGCCCUCAGUCAGGCCCUCCCCGGACAGAUCUUGGAAAUGAUUAAUCUCUCAGAUUAAACUGAAUGAGCUCAAUAUAAAAAUAUUUUUAAAAAACAGUAGGGUCGUUAAAGAGUGACAGAUUUAAGCGCCAUCUGGGCUCACUGGUCAGGGUGGCGCGAAUUCCAUCAAACGGCUGAACGGCGUGCGAUCUGAGAAUCCCAUCUGUUUUAUCUAACAUGCAUCCGUCCGACAGUUUGGCCAUUUUGAUGUUAGAGUUGUUUAAAGAAAACAUUAUUCUAUGGACAUAGAACAAUGCCUCCUCUAAACUCCCUGAAUGAAAAAAUGUACACUUGAUUAUCCCAAUACCUGACAGAAACGAAGCUCGGCCGAACUCUUACAGUGGCAAUUCCAAACAGAUUUCUUUUCAC